AUUCCAUGAUGAGGGCAUUUCUGUAAUAAUUUUUGUACCUUUCCCAUGCCUCAUACAAUGACUCAUCAUCCAUUUGUUGUAAAGCAGUGAUCUCGUUCCUCAACUU
rnacentral:snoRNA from 1 species